AAGACUAUACUUCACAGGAUCAUUUCUGUAGUCAGUCUUCACAUACUUUCACACUAGCUGAAAGCCAAGCGCACCCGCGUUGAUGAGUUGAAUCGCCCUAUUCGGCAGCGUGAGGAUUUGUCCAGUGUCCUUCGGGACGCAGGGCUUCGAUGAUCGCUCGGUAACACGAAUAGCGCGAAUUCUGAGUGGU